rnacentral:misc_RNA from 1 species
GAUAAGAACGUAGCGAAAUGCGAUAAGUAGUGUGAAUUGCAGAAUUCCGUGAAUCAUCGAGUCUUUGAACGCACAUUGCGCCCCCUGGUAUUCCGGGGGGCAUGCCUGUCCGAGCGUCAUUGCUGCCCUCAAGCACGGCUUGUGUGUUGGGCCUCCGUCCUCCUCCCGGGGGACGGGCCCGAAAGGCAGCGGCGGCACCGCGUCCGGUCCUCGAGCGUAUGGGGCUUCGUCACCCGCUCUUGUAGGCCCGGCCGGCGCUUGCCGACACAUCAAUCUUUUUUCCAGGUUGACCUCGGAUCAGGUAGGGAUACCCGCUGAACUUAAGCAUACAAUAAGCGGAGGA